rnacentral:rRNA from 2 species
AGUGGCAGACGGGUGAGUAACGCGUGGGAAUCUACCCAACCCUGCGGAAUAGCUCUGGGAAACUGGAAUUAAUACCGCAUACGCCCUACGGGGGAAAGAUUUAUCGGGGAUGGAUGAGCCCGCGUUGGAUUAGCUAGUUGGUGGGGUAAAGGCCUACCAAGGCGACGAUCCAUAGCUGGUCUGAGAGGAUGAUCAGCCACAUUGGGACUGAGACACGGCCCAAACUCCUACGGGAGGCAGCAGUGGGGAAUCUUAGACAAUGGGGGCAACCCUGAUCUAGCCAUGCCGCGUGAGUGUUGAAGGCCUUAGGGUUGCAAAGCUCUUUCAGCUGGGAAGAUAAUGACGGUACCAGCAGAAGAAGCCCCGGCUAACUCCGUGCCAGCAGCCGCGGUAAUACGAAGGGGGCUAGCGUUGCUCGGAAUUACUGGGCGUAAAGGGAGCGUAGGCGGACAUUUAAGUCAGGGGUGAAAUCCCAGAGCUCAACUCUGGA